rnacentral:rRNA from 1 species
UCGCAGUGGUUUUUAUNUUAAAGUUCCAACGGUAAAAGAUGAGCAUGCGUCCCAUUAGUUAGUUGGUAAGGUAACGGCUUACCAAGACAAUGAUGGGUAGGGGUCCUGAGAGGGAGAUCCCCCACACUGGUACUGAGACACGGACCAGACUCCUACGGGAGGCAGCAGUGAGGAAUAUUGGACAAUGGGCGCAAGCCUGAUCCAGCCAUGCCGCGUGCAGGAAGACGGUCCUAUGGAUUGUAAACUGCUUUUGUACAGGAAGAAACACUCCCUCGUGAGGGAGCUUGACGGUACUGUAAGAAUAAGGAUCGGCUAACUCCGUGCCAGCAGCCGCGGUAAU